AAAAAAAGAAACAAGUAAAAGGUGUUUGAGGGAAUUAAAAAAUGUCCUAGCUAGGGAAAGGCAAAGGCAAUCUCAGGAACUUGAAGAAGAGCAGAAAACAGAAGAAAAGGAAUAACANNNNNNGGAAUUAGAUUUUGGAGCAAACUGAAAUGGAAAUUGUUAUAUGGGAAUUGAAGAAGGAGAAAACUGAAGGUAAAGGGCAUGGGAGAAUUGCAAAUGGCGGGAGAU
rnacentral:misc_RNA from 1 species